UAUAUGUAUGUAUCUAAUACAAUAGAUAUAUUAAACAUAAUGUAUAAUACUACGUAUAUAAUAUAAUACAAUAUUUACCUACUAAUACAUAGUAAGUUAAAGUCAAAACAUACAGUUUAAACCUUGAAUACAAUGUUUGGAAUUAAAUAUUUCGACAUAGCAUGCCCUUAAGUGAAUAAAAUUGCGGAGCGGCGUAGUGAAAGUCCUCUGUAGGCGGGAGCGGCGUGCCGAAAGUAGCUUGUAGGCGUGGAGCGGCGUAGCGACGGCCCGACGAUAAGCCACUAAGCAUGCUAGUGUUGUAGGAAUAAUGUUUACAGAUUAUACAGAUCAGCACUUUACCCUUAAAAGUAGAUUGCAGAUCCUCGUUAUGGUACCCGUGACGUAGAUUUGUGGGUUAUUUAAGCCAUACAUUUGGAUGGAUCAAUCACAGUCUUCUCUGGAGUCCAGCAGCUUCAAGAAAUCCUAAGAGCUUCAACUAACUCAAGCGCCAACCUCAUUUCAAGUGCAAGUGUAUUGAAGGAAAAUAUCAUUAUGUCAAAGAUCGUGAAAGCUUGUUCCAGCGCCACGGCAGAGCAGUUGUUCCCCUCCGAGGAUGAGCGAGAGGGCAGCGUUGAUCGCAAGACUGAAAAGAAACGUGCUGGGAAGUCUAUGCCUUCACUGAUGGGUGAACCAUCAUGCAAGAAGAGGAUGACUACCACAAUCAACCCCGUGCCUGUAGUUGAAAAAUCAACAGCCAGGGACUUAUUUGGCAGCGACAGCGAUGAUGAAGAGUUCGAGGAAACGAAGAAACCUGGUACGGCGCCGAUUUACAACUAUUUUACCCGACGUUUAGCGAAUGGCCACUCACGACAAACAAAUGACGAUAAAACUGGAUCGCAUUAUAUAGAACUAAAGGUGUACAAAACAUCC